rnacentral:rRNA from 1 species
UAGGGAAUCUUCCACAAUGGACGCAAGUCUGAUGGAGCAACGCCGCGUGAGUGAAGAAGGUUUUCGGACCGUAAAGCUCUGUUGUUGGUGAAGAAGGAUAGAGGUAGUAACUGGCCCUUUAUUUGACGGUAAUCAACCAGAAAGUCACGGCUAACUACGUGCCAGCAGCCGCGGUAAUCGUAGGUGGCAAGCGUUGUCCGGAUUUAUUGGGCGUAAAGCGAGCGCAGGCGGAAGAAUAAGUCUGAUGUGAAAGCCCUCGGCUUAACCGAGGAAUUGCAUCGGAAACUGUUUUCUUGAGUGCAGAAGGGGAGAGUAGAACUCCAUGUGUAGCGGUGGAAUGCGUAGAUAUAUGGAAGAAUACCAGUGGCGAAGGCGGCUCUCUGGUCUGCAACUGACGCUGAGGCUCGAAAGCAUGGGUAGCGAACAGGAUUAGAUACCCUGGUAGUCCAUGCCGUAAACGAUGAGUGCUAAGUGUUGGGAGGCUUCCGCCUCUCAGUGCUGCAGCUAACGCAUUAAGCACUCCGCCUGGGGAGUACGACCGCAAGGUUGAAAC